CUCCUCGUCUGAGCCAAACUACGGAGAGAAAACACCAGCAGCAGCAGCAGCGUUUAUCAGCCGUCAUCUUGUCCAAAACAUUAGAUAUUCGUGCGGUUGUAUUUGUUGUUUAGUUCAUCCUGAAACCCCCCGCUGGGACUUCAGUGGAGGAUCUGACACCGGACAACACGGCCUCUCUGAGGCUCUUUAUAGAGCAGAGAGGGCGUAGGAUACAAAAAAUGUGAAAAAUGUCAAAGAUUUUCGCCGCUAUGUCAAAGCCACACAGGCUGAGUGUUCAAAGUGAAGCACCCAGCGACCAUCUAGCACGGAAACACACGAUGGGAGAGAAAUACCAGGAAGAAAGGUGUAGUAGGUGACUGACAAGAAGAGAUGCGAAGAAUGCUCGGAAUGAGACGAGGAAUGAAAUGAACGCAAGAGAGCGAGUUGGCUGCUCCGGGGCGGAGCGACGAGAGGUGGCGUCAUCAUCCCGACUCCGAGCCCGGCAGCCAGCAGCCAGCAGCCAGCAGCCAGCAGACAGGCCUGGGCAGCGGGCAGCAGAGAGCAGAGAGACAGGAGGGACAACCAGGAGGAGGAGGAGGGACAACUACAUCCCGGGAAACGACGCCUUCAGGGACAGCUCAGACAUUACAGCUCCACAAGCACCUGAAGCACACUUGUAGCAGCAUCGAUCCAGCUGUAGUUAUCAGUUACAGUCAUCAAUACAGAGCAAAGUCCCUCUCAGACAGUGGUGGAAGAAGGAUUCACAUAUUCCACUGAGAUUUUGAGAUUUGGG